ACAGAGGUCCCAAGCGUUGUUCGGGUUCAUUGGGCGUAAAGGGUGCGUAGGUGGUGCUGUAAGUCAGGUGUGAAAUCUCGGGGCUCAACCCCGAAACUGCACUUGAUACUGCAGUGCUGGAGGACUGGAGAGGAGAUCGGAAUUCAUGGUGUAGCAGUGAAAUGCGUAGAUAUCAUGAGGAAGACCGGUGGCGAAGGCGGAUCUCUGGACAGUUCCUGACACUGAGGCACGAAGGCUAGGGGAGCAAACGGGA
rnacentral:rRNA from 1 species